UGGGGAAUAUUGCGCAAUGGGCGAAAGCCUGACGCAGCGACGCCGCGUGAGGGAUGACGGCCUUCGGGUUGUAAACCUCUUUCAGCAGGGAAGAAGCGAAAGUGACGGUACCUGCAGAAGAAGCACCGGCUAACUACGUGCCAGCAGCCGCGGUAAUACGUAGGGUGCAAGCGUUGUCCGGAAUUAUUGGGCGUAAAGAGCUCGUAGGCGGUCUGUCGCGUCGGAUGUGAAAACCCAGGGCUCAACCCUGGGCCUGCAUUCGAUACGGGCAGACUAGAGUUCGGUAGGGGAGACUGGAAUUCCUGGUGUAGCGGUGAAAUGCGCAGAUAUCAGGAGGAACACCGGUGGCGAAGGCGGGUCUCUGGGCCGAAACUGACGCUGAGGAGCGAAAGCGUGGGGAGCGAACAGGAUUAGAUACCCUGGUAGUCCACGCCGUAAACGUUGGGCUCUAGGUGUGGGGAACCUUCCACGUUCUCCGUGCCGCAGCUAACGCAUUAAGCG
rnacentral:rRNA from 1 species